AUGACAAAAGACGAGACUCUACUAGUCUUCACUCUUGUGGUUUCCUCUUCCUCGGUUUCUGUUUUCUUAUUCAGGAUCUUGCUUUUCAUGGUUCUCAUCUCUGCAACUCGCGAUUUUCGCGAGAGAACCAAAUCCAAGUUGGUGAAGAUCAUGAUUUGGGCCGGCACGGUAUUGGGAUCGUUUGAUCGAUUUCCUUGA
rnacentral:rRNA from 1 species